UACAGAGGUCUCAAGCGUUGUUCGGAUUCAUUGGGCGUAAAGAGCGUGUAGGCGGCCAGGUAGGUCUGCUGUGAAAACUCGAGGCUUAACCUCGAGCUGUCGGCGGAAACCAUCUGGCUAGAGUCCGGAAGAGGAGAUUGGAAUUCCCGGUGUAGCGGUGAAAUGCGCAGAUAUCGGGAAGAACACCCGUGGCGAAGGCGGUUCUCUGGGACGGUACUGACGCUGAGACGCGAAAGCGUGGGGAGCGAACAGG
rnacentral:rRNA from 1 species